rnacentral:rRNA from 1 species
GAUGAACGCUGGCGGCGUGCCUAAUACAUGCAAGUAGAACGCUGAAGGAGGAGCUUGCUCUUCUGGAUGAGUUGCGAACGGGUGAGUAACGCGUAGGUAACCUGCCUGGUAGCGGGGGAUAACUAUUGGAAACGAUAGCUAAUACCGCAUGACAACAGUUAUUGCAUGAUAACUGUUUAAAAGGGGCAACUGCUCCACUACCAGAUGGACCUGCGUUGUAUUAGCUAGUUGGUGAGGUAACGGCUCACCAAGGCGACGAUACAUAGCCGACCUGAGAGGGGGGUCGGCCACACUGGGACUGAGACACGGCCCAGACUCCUACGGGAGGCAGCAGUAGGGAAUCUUCGGCAAUGGACGGAAGUCUGACCGAGCAACGCCGCGUGAGUGAAGAAGGUUGUCGGAUCGUAAAGCUCUGUUGUAAGAGAAGAACGAGUGUGAGAGUGGAAAGUUCACACUGUGACGGUAUCUGACCAGAAAGGGACGGCUAACUACGUG